GGCGUGGGAGCGGGGGACGGCAGAGGUACUGCCGGCUGUGGGAUUCACGGGGUGGGUUCUGGGUUGGUUAAGCCUCAAUCAAGAUACCAGCAAUGAUUGGAAGAAUUGCUCUGCCAAAAACAACAACUCUGUCACUAAAUGACAGGUUCUCCCACUUGCGUCAGCUGCGUGACCAGCAGCUGCAGCAGCAACAACAGCGGCAACAACAACAGCA